rnacentral:rRNA from 1 species
GAUGAACGCUGGCGGCGUGCCUAAUACAUGCAAGUCGAGCGGACCAAAGAGAGCUUGCUCUCUGAGGUUAGCGGCGGACGGGUGAGUAACACGUGGGUAACCUGCCUGUAAGACGGGGAUAACUUCGGGAAACCGAAGCUAAUACCGGAUGAUAAAGAGAAACGCCUGUUUCUUUUUUGAAAGUCGGCCUUGUGCUGACGCUUACAGAUGGGCCCGCGGCGCAUUAGCUAGUUGGUGAGGUAACGGCUCACCAAGGCGACGCUGCGUAGCCGGCCGGAGAGGGUGAGCGGCCACACUGGGACUGAGACACGGCACAGACUCCUACGGGAGGCAGCAGUAGGGAAUCUUCGGCAAUGGACGAAAGUCUGACCGAGCAACGCCGCGUGAGCGAUGAAGGCCUUCGGGUCGUAAAGCUCUGUUGUCAGAGAAGAACAAGUACCGGAGUAACUGCCGGUACCUUGACGGUACCUGACCAGAAAGCCACGGCUAACUACGUGCCAGCCGCCGCGGUAA